AGGGCAGAAGAAAUCCGAUCCCAUCAGAAACAGCAGCACCAACAGCACGGAGGAAAACGGCGCUCCGCAGUGACAUUGGCUGGCCAGUCUGUUGAUGAUGAUGUUGUAAUGAGUGUUGGGGUUUAAACCUAACAUUUAAAUGGUCCUUUCGAGCCGGAGUCCAAGAUACCUGACGAUCCUAGCGGGUGAGAGAGAUCCAGGUAAAACUCCGUGGCCACGGUAAAAAGACCUUUUCCGGGACUGGUUCUCCCUGGCAAGCUGGGAUCCAAGGGUUGACGGAACUCCAAAGACGCAGAGAAGUGUGAGUAAAUCUUAUGAUUAAAAAGAGGGAUGAAUGACAAAAGAAUAAAAUAGUAAAACCCUGACAAUUCUAGACACUAUCAGGUACAAGAGAAGAAUACAGUUAAAUUCCGCAGGAGGGUAGACUCCCUUAGUUGAAAUAGACUAAUUAAAUUCUACGUUAAGGACGGCGGAGUCCUCUGUUAGGAAACUAAUAAAAGGAGCGAGCGAGUGUGAGAGUGGAAAAAUAGCCACCACUAGGUGACUGUUUUUCAUAUAAAUUAAACAAGGAACAAAUGGUGAGCCGUUGCGGAUGCAUGUAGGCAAGAAAAUUCCACCUUAACGGGUUGAAGUGAAUUUUACCGCAACAGGUUAGUUGAUCACCAUCUUGUUUAAAAGGUAUUUCCAGUAUUUAGAACACACCAGGUGUUAAAACCAUACUGGAACUAAAAGUCGCCUAAAAAUGGGUAAGGGACAAAGUAAAGAAAAACAAAAGUUACUUGAUAAUUUAUCAUGCAAAGAUUGGAAAGUAGUAGAAAAG